UACGUAGGGGCCAAGCGUUGUCCGGAUUUAUUGGGCGUAAAGAGCUCGUAGGCGGUUGGGUAAGUCGGGUGUGAAAACUCCAGGCUCAACCUGGAGACGCCACCUGAUACUGCUGUGGCUAGAGUCCGGUAGGGGGAGCGUGGAAUUCCUGGUGUAGCGGUGAAAUGCGCAGAUAUCAGGAGGAACACCAGCGGCGAAGGCGGCGCUCUGGGCCGGAACUGACGCUGAGGAGCGAAAGCGUGGGUAGCAAACAGG
rnacentral:rRNA from 1 species